rnacentral:rRNA from 1 species
UACGUAGGCAGCGAGCGUUGUUCGGAGUUACUGGGCGUAAAGGGUGUGUAGGCGGUUUUUCUAAGUUUGGUGUGAAAUCUCCCCGGCUCAACCGGGAGGGUGCGCCGAAAACUGGGAGACUAGAGUGCGGGAUGGGAGAGUAGAAUUCCUGGUGUAGCGGUGAAAUGCGUAGAUAUCAGGAGGAAUACCGGUGGUGUAGACGGCUCUCUGGACCGCCACUGACGCUGAGACACGAAAGCGUGGGUAGCAAACAGG